AUUGAACGCUGGCGGCAGGCCUAACACAUGCAAGUCGAACGAGUGGCGGACGGGUGAGUAAUGUCUGGGAAACUGCCUGAUGGAGGGGGAUAACUACUGGAAACGGUAGCUAAUAACGCAUACCAUCAGAUGUGCCCAGAGGGGAUUAGCUAGUUGGUGGGGUAACGGCUCACCAAGGCGACGAUCCCUAACUGGUCUGAGAGGAUUACCAGUCACACUGGAACUGAGACACGGUCCAUACUCCUACGGGAGGCGGCAGUGGGGAAUAUUGCACAAUGGGCGCAAGCCUGAUGCAGCCAUGCCGCGUGUAUGAAUAAGGCCUUCGGGUUGUAAAGUACUUUCAGCGGGGAGGCGUUACCCGCAUAAGAAGCACCGGCUAACUCCGUGCCAGCCGCCGCGGUAAUAC
rnacentral:rRNA from 1 species